rnacentral:rRNA from 1 species
CAGCACCUCAAGUGGUCAGGAUGAUUAUUGGGCCUAAAGCAUCCGUAGCCGGCGCUGUAAGUUUUCGGUUAAAUCUGUACGCUCAACGUACGGGCUGCCGGGAAUACUGCAGCGCUAGGGAGUGGGAGAGGUAGACGGUACUCGGUAGGAAGGGGUAAAAUCCUUUGAUCUAUUGAUGACCACCUGUGGCGAAGGCGGUCUACCAGAACACGUCCGACGGUGAGGGAUGAAAGCUGGGGGAGCAAACCGGAUUAGAGACCCGAGUAGUC